UCCGGUUGAUCCUGCCAGAGGUCACUGCUAUCGGUAUUCGACUAAGCCAUGCGAGUCAAAUGUUCUUCGUGAACAUGGCGAACUGCUCAGUAACACGUGGAUAACCUGCCCUAAGGUUCGGCAUAACACCGGGAAACUGGUGAUAAUUCCGAAUGAACCAGAUAUGCUGGAAUGCUUUCUGGUUAAAAGCUUCGGUGCCUUAGGAUGGAUCUGCGGCCUAUCAGGUAGUAGUGGGUGUAAUGUACCUACUAGCCGACGACGGGUACGGGUUGUGAGAGCAAGAGCCCGGAGAUGGAUUCUGAGACAUGAGUCCAGGCCCUACGGGGCGCAGCAGGCGCGAAAACUUUACAAUGCGGGAAACCGCGAUAAGGGGAUACCGAGUGCCAGCAUUUAUGUUGGCUGUCCACAUGUCUAAAUCGCAUGUGUUAGCAAGGGCCGGGCAAGACCGGUGCCAGCCGCCGCGGUAACACCA
rnacentral:rRNA from 1 species